rnacentral:rRNA from 2 species
UGGGGAAUCUUAGACAAUGGGCGCAAGCCUGAUCUAGCCAUGCCGCGUGGGUGAUGAAGGCCUUAGGGUCGUAAAGCCCUUUCGCCGGGGAAGAUAAUGACGGUACCCGGUAAAGAAACCCCGGCUAACUCCGUGCCAGCAGCCGCGGUAAUACGGAGGGGGUUAGCGUUGUUCGGAAUGACUGGGCGUAAAGCGCGCGUAGGCGGAUCAUCAAGUCGGGGGUGAAAUCCCGGGGCUCAACCCCGGAAUGGCCUUCGAGACUGGUGGUCUUGAGUUCGAGAGAGGUGAGUGGAAUUCCGAGUGUAGAGGUGAAAUUCGUAGAUAUUCGGAGGAACACCAGUGGCGAAGGCGGCUCACUGGCUCGACACUGACGCUGAGGUGCGAAAGCGUGGGGAGCAAACAGG